UACGAAGGGGACAAGCGUUGCUCGGAAUCACUGGGCGUAAAGCGCGCGUAGGCGGCCGAUCAAGUCAGAGGUGAAAGCCUGGAGCUCAACUCCAGAACUGCCUUUGAUACUGUUUGGCUAGAGUUCGGAAGAGGUUGGUGGAACUGCAAGUGUAGAGGUGAAAUUCGUAGAUAUUUGCAAGAACACCAGUGGCGAAGGCGGCCAACUGGUCCGAUACUGACGCUGAGGUGCGAAAGCGUGGGGAUCAAACAGG
rnacentral:rRNA from 1 species